AUUAAAACACUGGCUCCCGUACGAUCAUCAAAGUUAAGCAACGUCGAUUUUGGUCAGUACCUAGAUAGGUGACCUCUUGCGAAUAUCAGGUGCUGUG